AGAGUUUGAUCCUGGCUCAGAACAAACGCUGGCGGCGUGCCUAACACAUGCAAGCCGUACGAGAAAGUCCGCUUCGGUGGAUGAGUAAAGUGGCGCACGGGUGAGUAACGCGUGGAUAAUCUACCCUUUAGUCUGGAAUAACCUAUCGAAAGGUGAACUAAUACCGGACAAUACUGCACGAGUAAUGUUGUGUAGUCAAAGAAGGCCUCUGUUUACAAGCUUUUGCUAAAGGAUGAGUCCGCGUACCAUUAGCUAGUUGGUAGGGUAAUGGCCUACCAAGGUUAUGAUGGUUAGCUGGUCUGGGAGGAUGAUCAGCCACACUGGAACUGAGACACGG
rnacentral:rRNA from 1 species